AUACGUAGGGGGCGAGCGUUGUCCGGAAUGAUUGGGCGUAAAGGGCGCGUAGGCGGCGCGGUAAGUCUGGAGUGAAAGUCCUGCUUUCAAGGUGGGAAUUGCUUUGGAUACUGCCGCGCUUGAGUGCAGGAGAGGUUAUCGGAAUUCCCGGUGUAGCGGUGAAGUGCGUAGAGAUCGGGAGGAACACCAGUGGCGAAGGCGGGUAACUGGACUGCAACUGACGCUGAGGCGCGAAAGUGUGGGGAGCAAACAGGAUUAGAUACCCUGGUAGUCCACACUGUAAACGAUGAAUGCUAGGUGUAAGAGGUAUCGACCCCUUUUGUGCCGGAGUCAACACAAUAAGCAUUCCGCCUGGGGAGUACGGCCGCAAGGUUGAAACUCAAAUGAAUUGACGGGG
rnacentral:rRNA from 1 species